CGUAUAGACCCGUCACAAAUACAAAGUUUCUCUGACUACACAGACAGAUUCUGCUUUGUAUUUGCACGGCGUACCAACAAUAACAUCAGGAUCAUAACAACACCUUAUAUUCACCAAUCCACAAACAAUUCAUGCGAUACAUUUCCAUACAGUUAGCGAUUCUUAGAGAUGAUGCAUGCCUCUAAACACUUCUUAGGCGUUGAAUGAUGCGAUACACAGUACAACAGUCAUCCUGUUUAAAAAUAUUUUCCACUCGAAAGUUUUAUUUUUAACUCUAUUUAAUCAUCCAUAAAACCCAUUCGAAAAUAUUUUAAAACUGUUUCCCACUCGGAAACUCCAUUUUGAAAACCGACUAUCUCGAAGAGUAGAAAACCAUGAUACAUAAAUAUGUAAAUCCGAAACCAAGCAUUCAUAAAUCUCAAAUCGCAUGCAUAAUAAGUAUCAACUCAAAUCAGUUCACAAAUAUCUAAACAUUCACAGUGAUCAUCUAACUGAACCAUUUAAUCAUUUAAAUUACUAAAAACAGAAAUAAAAUAUAACCAGGGUGACGGUCGCUACUAUAGUCUAGCUAGAACGUCCUCCCGUAACACCAAGAAUCAACUCCUUGCCUGAACCACCUGAAAAAAUGGGGGGUGAGAAACUACAACCAAGGUUUACCAGUGGGUACGACAGAGUUACG
rnacentral:lncRNA from 1 species